rnacentral:rRNA from 1 species
AACGAACGCUGGCGGCAUGCCUAACACAUGCAAGUCGAACGAGACCUUCGGGUCUAGUGGCGCACGGGUGCGUAACGCGUGGGAACCUGCCCUUAGGUUCGGAAUAACUCCCCGAAAGGGGUGCUAAUACCGGAUAAUGUCUUCGGACCAAAGAUUUAUCGCCUUUGGAUGGGCCCGCGUUGGAUUAGCUAGUUGGUAGGGUAAAAGCCUACCAAGGCGACGAUCCAUAGCUGGUCUGAGAGGAUGAUCAGCCACACUGGGACUGAGACACGGCCCAGACUCCUACGGGAGGCAGCAGUGGGGAAUAGUGGACAAUGGGCGAAAGCCUGAUCCAGCAAUGCCGCGUGAGUGAUGAAGGCCUGAGGGUUGUAAAGCUCUUUUACCCGGGAUGAUAAUGACAGUACCGGGAGAAUAAGCUCCGGCUAACUCCG